rnacentral:rRNA from 1 species
GACGAACGCUGGCGGCGUGCUUAACACAUGCAAGUCGAACGGAAAGGCCCUGCUUUUGUGGGGUGCUCGAGUGGCGAACGGGUGUGUAACACGUGAGUAACCUGCCCUUGACUUUGGUAUAACUUCAGGAAACUGGGUCUAAUCCCGGAUAGGAGCUCCUGCUGCAUGGUGGGGGUUGGAAAGUUUCGUCGGGUGGGGAUGGACUCGCGGCUUAUCAGCUUGUUGGUGGGGUAGUGGCUUACCAAGGGAUUGACGGGUAGCCGGCCUGAGAGGGGGACCGGCAAAAUUGGGACGGGGAAACGGCCAAGACUCCAACGGGAGGAAGAAGUGGGGAAUAUUGCACAAUGGGGGGAAGCCGGAGGCAGGAACGCCGGGUGCGGGAUAACGGCCUUCGGGUUGUAAACCGCUUUCGCAUGUAACGAAGCGUGAGUGACGGUAAUGGGUAAAGAAGCACCGGCUAACUACGUG